UCAAAACUAUUAACCCUCAAAACUGUUAACCCUCAAAACUGUUAACCCUCAAAACUGUUAACCCUCACCCUCAAUAUAACAGGCUUUUCUAAUCCAAUAUUGGUGCACAAUUUCUACUUAAGGUGGUUGGGGUUCGUUCCUUGUCAAUCAUUGGCUCAUUUGUGAAAUUAGCAUUCUGACAAUAUCUUUAAUUAAAUCAUUCAUUCAUUUAUUAAUGCAAUUGCAUACAGAAGUUGACAACAGGAACAUAGCACGCAUGUUUCCGAGUAAGUUCUACAAAAUAGAAAAGGUCCCAAGUUGCUUUUAUCAUGCUUGUAGUGAACCCCCUGUGAUGUCACUGCCUACGCCAUUACCUUCUACUCAUGAGACCAAAACCAUGCCUACACAGCUACAUAAACAAUACUUUAGUGUUAUCUAAAGGCUCAGCAGUAAAUGUCCAAGUUGAUUUAUAGUGGAAUGUCUGACUAGUCUCUUAUCGCUUACUGGAGAGUUCUGUCUUCACAGUCACACAUUUCUCAGACAGUUUCUUUAUAAGAGGCAGAGAGACUAAAAAACAACUGUGGAACAACAUUAAACCUCUAUAAUGAAUAUAUAUUGUUAAUCUGUAGUCUAGGACCCUAUAAAUGUAAGGAGGGUGGGGUCUUAUAACCCCUCCCCUUCUAUUAAUACAACAUAAGCAUAAUCAAUUAUUAUAAUACAUCAAACAUUUAGUACAGCCCCCAUCAUGACCCCUAGGUGAACCUCUAACAAGAUAUCAAAGGGACGCAAAAGGCACUUUUAUUGUGAAACGACCCAGUAACUAGCUGGCCUCUGGCACUGAGCAGUUCCCGGUAGUAGUUUAGCCAACUGCUCUUCCCUGACGUGGUACAAAACGCAUAAUUGAUAUUUUACAUUGAUGUUCUGACAUUGGUUAUAUUGGUUAUAUAAAGGACGUUUAAACUGGGUCCAGCGCUUCAUGAGACACAACUACAGUAUAGUGAAUUACCAGGCCAAGUUAAUAUAACUUUGAAAAUACUGCACCAAACAAACCCAACACAGCUGUAUGGUGAUUCAACUGUAUUCCUGGACAGUUUUGUCAUUUAUAUUGCAUAACACAUGACACUGCAUUAUUUGUUCACCCAUUGGAGAAAGUGCAGGUAUCUUAUAUUUCUCUAAACACCAGGUUAUAAUGGGAGAUAUGUUCAUAAAGAAUAUAUAAAACCACUUCUAACAAUUAAUCAAUGAAAGUAUUGAUCAACAAUUAAUAAAUUAACUUAUUUAUCAUUUUCAUCUGCAAACUUGUUUUGUUUUCAGAGGUCACCCUGCUUUACAAUAAGAGAUGAUGAUUGAAGAGACUCUCUAAUGUUUAGAUGAUGAUUGAAGAGACUCCCUAAUGUUCAGAUGAUGAUUGAAGAGACUCCCUAAUGUUCAGAUGAUGAAUGAAGAGACUCCCUAAUGUUUAGAUGAUGAAUGAAGAGACUCCCUAAUGUUCAGAUGAUGAAUGAAGAGACUCCCUAAUGUUUAGAUGAUGAAUGAAGAGACUCCCUAAUGUUCAGAUGAUGAAUGAAGAGACUCCCUAAUGUUCAGAUG
ensembl:lncRNA